GAUGAACGCUAGCGGCAGGCUUAAUACAUGCAAGUCGAGGGGCAUCAAGGUACACGAAAGUGUAUUGUUGGCGACCGGCGGACGGGUGAGUAAUAGGUAGGUAACCUACCUCAUACUGAGGCAUAGCUGGGAGAAAUUCCAGGUAAUUCCUCAUGAGGUUAUAUGACACAUGUGAUAUAAUCAAAGGUAUCGCAAGGUACUGGUAUGAGAUGGGCUUACUGACCAUUAGCUAGUUGGUGAGAUAAGAGCUCACCAAGGCGAAGAUGGUUAGGGGUUUUGAGAGAGAGAUCCCCCACAUUGGAACUGAGAGUACGGUCCAGACUCCUACGGGAGGCAGCAGUAGGGAAUAUUGGGCAAUGGGCGGAAGCCUGACCCAGCCAUGCCGCGUGAAGGAAGACGGCCUUAUGGGUUGUAAACUUCUUUACUAUGCGACUAACUAGAUUUACGAGAUAAUUCUAUAGAAUGUAGCAUAGCAAAAAGCACCGG
rnacentral:rRNA from 1 species